rnacentral:rRNA from 1 species
UACGGGGGGGGGCAAGUGUUGUUCGGAAUUACUGGGCGUAAAGGGUGCGUAGGCGGCCUUCUAAGUCGAACGUGAAAUCCCCGGGCUCAACCCGGGAACUGCGUCCGAUACUGGAAGGCUUGAAUCCGGGAGAGGGAUGCGGAAUUCCAGGUGUAGCGGUGAAAUGCGUAGAUAUCUGGAGGAACACCGGUGGCGAAGGCGGGUCUCUGGGCCGGAUACUGACGCUGAGGAGCGAAAGCGUGGGGAGCGA